GAGGGCAUCAGCAAGUUCAAAGUCAACAACACCAUUCUUCACCCAGAGAUCGUUUAGUGCCGAGUGUUUAAGACGGACAUAGAGCUGGAGGUUCUGCACUACACCAAUAAAAUCUCCAGUGAGACCCACUGUGAGUUCUGGAAUAUAAAGGAGAGAAGGCUGAAAAGUGAAGGGUGCAACCUAAGACUCUGACCAGUGACUAGGAGUUUUCCAGAGGAGGAAGAACGGGAAAGGCAUUUCAGGAAAAGGCCAGCAUGAACACGCAUAUGAAGCUGCACGCAGGUGCAGAAAAAGGGAGUGGCAGCCUAUUUUUUCUGACUGUAAAAUGGACUACAAGAGAAAAUUCCUGCUCAGAGGGUGCCCUCUCUUGCAGUAAAAAUCCUUUUUGAAGAUGGUCAAUAACAUGAGGACAUAGAGCAGAAUCACAUUCUGUUUCUACAAAACACCCCCACCACCAUUUUAAACUACAAAUCUGCCAAACAAAAGAUCAUCCAAAAGACACUUUUUGAGUGCAUUGCAGAACUGGGAGGGUAUCUUCUUCCGAAGUAAUUUCAUUUUUCAGGCUUGCAAUAAUAAAAUGAUCUUAAGAG
rnacentral:lncRNA from 10 species